rnacentral:rRNA from 1 species
UGGGGAAUUUUGGACAAUGGGGGCAACCCUGAUCCAGCCAUGCCGCGUGUGCGAAGAAGGCCUUCGGGUUGUAAAGCACUUUUGUCAGGAACGAAAAGGGUGUCUCUAAUACGGACAUCCGAUGACGGUACCUGAAGAAUAAGCACCGGCUAACUACGUGCCAGCAGCCGCGGUAAUACGUAGGGUGCAAGCGUUAAUCGGAAUUACUGGGCGUAAAGCGUGCGCAGGCGGUUGUGUAAGACAGGUGUGAAAUCCCCGGGCUUAACCUGGGAACUGCAUUUGUGACUGCACGGCUAGAGUAUGUCAGAGGGGGGUGGAAUUCCACGUGUAGCAGUGAAAUGCGUAGAUAUGUGGAGGAACACCAAUGGCGAAGGCAGCCCCCUGGGAUAAUACUGACGCUCAUGCACGAAAGCGUGGGGAGCAAACAG